UUUUGGAUUCUUGCGGAACUUCUUUUGACAUUCCUAAAGGAGUAAUUUCUUAAGAAUUCCUACAAGGAAUAACUGCCUCAUUGGAAAUUAUUGUAGAAGUGUGGAAGGAUAAGGGGAUAUUACAACAACAAACAAGAAGAGGCUUCAUGAUCAUUUGAGUUAGAACUACAACCCAAAAAAUAAAUGUGAUGGGAGAAGGUGGAGGAGAAGGCCUUUAGAAGUUCUUAAUUUGCAGGUUCAUUUUUUUUUUGCUACUUUCAGAGGAGCAACUGAUAUAAAUUGAUGGUUUCAUUAUCAUUUAAUAGGUACUAAUUUGUCAUGUGCAGGCUUCAGAGGAGCAACUGAUUUUUUUGAACAAUCUAGGAGCGUGGGGGGAAACUCGUUCUUGAUCAUCUCAUGUAAGAAGUUUGAUUCUUGCUUUACCUAAAUGAGUAGCUGGACCUUACAAGACUGAAUAUCCUUUCACUGUCAGCACAGCUCUUUGAUUGA